UCGAGAAUCUUCCGCAAUGGACGAAAGUCUGACGGAGCGACGCCGCGUGCGGGAUGAAGGCCCUUGGGUUGUAAACCGCUGUCAGAGGGGAUGAAAUCUUCGGAGGUACUCCUCCGAAGUUGACAGAGCCUCAAAGGAAGCACGGGCUAAGUACGUGCCAGCAGCCGCGGUAACACGUACUGUGCGAACGUUAUUCGGAAUCACUGGGCUUAAAGGGUGCGUAGGCGGCGAUUCAAGUCAGGUGUGAAAUGCCUGAGCUCAACUGAGGCAUUGCGCUUGAAACUGAAUUGCUAGAGUAUCCCAGGGGUGUGCGGAACUGCCGGUGGAACGGUGAAAUGUGUUGAUAUUGGCAGGAACACCGGAGGCGAAAGCGGCACACUGGGGGAUAACUGACGCUGAGGCACGAAAGCCAAGGGAGCGAACGGGAUUAGAUACCCAAGUAGUCCCUGAGCGGGCUGGCAAGGCGCAU
rnacentral:rRNA from 1 species